UCGUCACACUAUCAUUAACUGAAUCCAUAGGUUAAUGAGGCGAACCGGGGGAACUGAAACAUCUAAGUACCCCGAGGAAAAGAAAUCAACCGAGAUUCCCCCAGUAGCGGCGAGCGAACGGGGAGGAGCCCAGAGCCUGAAUCAGCAUGUGUGUUAGUGGAAGCGUCUGGAAAGGCGCGCGAUACAGGGUGACAGCCCCGUACACAAAAGCGCAUGUGCUGUGAGCUCGAUGAGUAGGGCGGGACACGUGGUAUCCUGUCUGAAUAUGGGGGGACCAUCCUCCAAGGCUAAAUACUCCUGACUGACCGAUAGUGAACCAGUACCGUGAGGGAAAGGCGAAAAGAACCCCGGCGAGGGGAGUGAAAAAGAACCUGAAACCGU
rnacentral:rRNA from 11 species